UAAAAUGUGAGCAGGAUAUUGCUUUGCUGCAGAGGGAUUUGGAUAGAUUGGGCACUAAAAUGGCAGAUGAACAUUAAUGUAGAGAAAUGCAAAGUUAUGCACUUCGGGUCAAGAAUGCACAAGCAACUUACACCUUAAGUGGUAGUGAAUUAGGGAUAACCACACACAAAUUGGGCAGCACUAUGCAAUGUCAAUCUGCAGUUGCGAAGACCAGUAAGGUUUUGUCAUGUAUAAAUUCUUGGGAUGAAAAUAUAAUUUUGCCUCUUUAUAAAUCGCUGAAAAGACCACACCUUGAAUAUGCUGUGCAAUGUUGGGCACCUGUUCUAAAGAAGGAUAUCAUGGCACAAAAAAAGUGCAGAGAUGAGCUACAAAAUUGAUAAAAGAAAUGGAGCAUUGGAAAUCUAUUCAUAAACAGGGCUAUACAUAGCACACGAGGUCACACAUUUAGGCUGGAAGAAAGGAGAUUUCAUCUAAGGCAAAGAAAAGUUGUUGUUUUUUUUUUGUUUUGUUUUUUACAGUAAGAGCAAUAAGGAUAUGGAAUUCUCUGCCUGAAGAGGUGUUUUUUUCAGAGUCCAUACAGAUGUUUAAACUGCAAUUGCAUAGAUGCUUGCAAAAACAUAACAUAUAGGGAUAUAAUUUCUAAUUAGUGGGGUAAUAGCUGCUUGAUCCAAGGAGACAUCUGACUGCUAUUUUGGGGUCAAGAAGGAAUUUUUUUCUAGUUUGUUGCAAAAUUGGAAGCACUUCAGACUGGGCUUUUUGCCUUCUUUUGGAUCAACAGCAAAAACAUAUGUGAGGAAGGCUGAACUUGAUAGAUGCAAGUCUCUUUUCAGCUAUGUAACUGUUACACCCCCCCCAAACAUUUAUGCUGAUGGGGAAAAAUAACUAUCUCAAAUGAAUUUGGCAGCAAUCUGGGUAAUUCAUUAAUCAUUGGAGAUUUUAAUUAUCCAGACAAUGACUAGGAUGGAUAGCACAGUUAGGUGGAACAGGGUUUUGAGCCUGUUAAACAAUACUUUCUUGUCACAAUUAAAAGCACCAACUACAAUAGUUACUUGUAAUAACUAGUAACAGUGACCUGUUUUUAAAUAUUGAUGCUUGGGAGCACUUGUAAAAUAGUGACCAUAAUAUCGUAAUGUGGUACAAUUUCAGAUCAACUUAAAAUAUCUAAAUAUCUGGAACUGCUCACUGGAAAAAGCACACAGAAUAAUCAAAGAUUUUUAAGGAAAUUCUACAGACUUUUUAAAGAAAUGUUUUAACACUUUCCAUUUGUGAAACGUGUAUAAAAACGUGGUGGCACCUUUCAAUGGGAUAAGUUUAUCUUUACAACUAACUGAAAUUCUAUAGAAUUGCUAAAAAAAAAAAAAAAAGCCCUUUCAGUUGUGCUGUGUCCGUUUUCCUGUGAACAGUACCGGAAAGACAAAGAAAUGUUCUGACACAUACCCUGUGGAAAACUUUUAUAAAGUAUGGGAUGAGGUCUCUCUAGCAACUAAACCGCUAUGGCUGCCCAGUCACUAGUUCAUAUUUACCAAAAGCCGCCAGUGGCAACUCGCUGUUAAGUAAAUAGUACAUAUGCCCCCAGCUGCUGUCUAGCAAGUGGGGGCAAAAGGGAGCUUUACAAUCUUUUGCAUACUAAUAUGGAGGUCAUUUUUACACCCAUAGGCCUAUAUUUUUUUUUUUUACAUUUGAAUUUGACAGCUGGCUAGUUUCCACAUGGUUAACCAUUGCACUGCCAAAAAACCCACAUUGGAUAAUUGAAAGAUCUUUAAGGAAAUUCUACAGAAUUUCUAAAGAAAUUCUUUAACAUGUACCAUAUGGGAAACGUUAAUAAAACAUGUGAUGGCACCAUCCAAUAAUAUAAGUAUAUCUUUACAACCAAUUUAUUUCUACAUUUUAAUGUGACAAGCUGGCCAGCUUCCACAUAGUUAACCAUUGCUCUUCCAAGGCUUAUUAAACAAAUUUGUUGACUUGCUGCUAGUACUGCCAGCAAGCGAAUAGCAUUUAAAUUAUAAUUUACAUGCAUCCUGCAGUCAGUCAGUAAUUUAAAAAAAAUUUUUUUUUUGAUUCUUUAUAACUAUUCUGAAUUCUGUACUUGGUACAGCACUGAUUUUAUUCUGAUCACCAAAUGCGUCCAAGCAGAUUAGUGCAGAAUCAGUGGGUCAGAACAUAUUUAGCGUUGGUAAAUCUAGGAUAGAAUAAGAUAGAAAAGAUGAUCAUGUGCAAAGAAGCGACUACAUACACAACGUCCUUGUAAUGUACAAGGUUGCUUGCCUUAUGAUUUAGCUAAACAGAAAUGAAUACUUUCAGUAUGCUUAAAAGAAUUUGACCUGGAUGAAGCAUAACUUUAAACCACCGGGCCCCGGUGCAAAUAUGACCCUGUCCCACCCAUGUGUCUCAUUGCCCCCCCUCCCCCCAAGCACCUCCACAUGUCUCAUUCCCCCCUUGAAUGUAUCUCAAUUCCCAACCAGCCCCUCCAUAUGUCUCUUCCAUGUGUUGCCCCUUUCCCCUAAAUCUUUUCCAUGUGUCAGUUUUACCCCCCAGUACCUUCCAUAUGUCUCAACCACCCCUGUCCCUUCCAUGUGUCGAUUUUUACCUCCCACAGUCCCUUCCAUGUGUCUUAUUUAGCUUCCAGUCCCUUUCAUGUGUCUCAAUUCCCCCCAGUCCCUUUCAUGUGUCAAGCCCAACCCCCAUUCACUCCAUGUGUCACAAUUACCCACCACUCUCUUCCUUGUGUCUUAAAUUCCUUCCAUGUGUCCAUUUCCACCGCAGUCCCUUUUGUGUGUCAAUUUCACCCCCCAGAGUUCCUUCCAUGUGUUUCAAUCCACCUCUACUCCCUUCCAUAUGUCAAUCUACCCCCAGUCCCUUCCAUGUGUCUCAAUCCCCCACCAGUCCUUUUUAUGUGUCAGUUCCCCCCACCUGUCCCUUCCAUGUGUCUCGUCUCAAUUUACCCUCAUUCCCUUCCAUGUGUCAAUUCCCCCCGAGGUCCUCUGUGUGUGUCAAUUCCUGCCCUUUCCAUGUGUCUUAAUCCCCCCCCAACCAUUCACUUCCAUGUGUCAAUUCCCCCAUUCCCUUCCAUAUGUCUCCUCUCAAUUCCCUCCAGUCCUUUCCAUGUGUCAUUUCCCCCAGAGUCCCUUCUCUGUGUCUCAAUUCUCCCUCAUCCCUUCCACGUGUGUCAGUUCCCCCCCACUCCAUUUCAUGCAUCUCAAUUCCCCCCUCGCCCUGAGUACUUUUUAUAUGUCUCAAUCCCCCCCACCCUCCAUAUAUUUUCAUGUGUCUCAAUUCGCCCCCUCCGUGUGUCUGUACUCCUUCCUCCUCUGUACAUGCUCUCUCCUGUAGCAGGGCCAAGCGGAUCACGGUACCUGAUCUGACAGUAAGUGCUCUCAUUGAGCACUUCCUGUCAGACCAGGAAAAGGGAAGCAGAGAUUCCUCUACCCGAGGUCCGCUAGGCUAUGCUACAUACAUUGACCGACAGGAGGGGAGUGCUGUGCUGUGCUGUGCUGUGCGCUCCCCUCCUGCCAGUCACACUGCGACCGCAACAGUGCACCAGCCGUGUGUGUGUACAUUUGUUAAUCAAAAGUAGAAUUUAGCUGCAGAUGGGAAAGAUACUACAAGGGCUCAAGAUGAGCAUCUGUAUUUAGCCUAACAAACAUAACCUUAGCAAGAAAAUACAUAUUGGCAAUCAACUGGCUUUCAACUUUCAAAAAUCAGCUUGUCAUACAAGAGUACUGAGCAGUCAUAUACUGACAUUUCUGUCAGAAUUCGGCCAGCAAAUGUCCAUCUGGACAAAGUCCAGUGAUUAGUAAAUUACCCUGUUAGCAGAAAAAAUAACCAAUCAAUAUUUUUCUGCUUCAUUUGCAUCCUGUGCCUAGACUGAACUUUAC